GACGAACGCUGGCGGCGUGCUUAACACAUGCAAGUCGAACGGAAAGGCCUUGCUCUUGUGGGGUGCUCAAGUGGCGAACGGGUGAGUAUCACGUGAGUAACCUGCCCCUGACUUUGGGAUAACUUCAGGAAACUGGGGCUAAUACAGGAUAGGAGCUCCUGCUGCAUGGUGGGGGAUGGAAAGUUUCGGCGGUUGGGGAUGGACUCGCGGCUUAUCAGCUUGUUGGUGGGGUAGUGGGUUAACAAGGCUUUGACGGGUAGCCGGACUGAGAUGGUGAGCGGGCACAAGGGGAGUGGGAAAGGGCCCAGACGGAUACGUGAGGCAGGGGAGGAAGAUAGUGCACGAAGGGCCGAAGGCGGGAGGAACGGCGCCGGGUGGGAGAUGACGGCCUGCGGAUUGUAAAGUGCGUGCGCGUGGGAAGAACAGUUAGUGACGGUAAUGGGCAAAGAAGCAACGGCUAACUACGUG
rnacentral:rRNA from 1 species